CCUACGGGUGGCAGCAGUGAGGAAUAUUGGUCAAUGGGCGAGAGCCUGAACCAGCCAAGUCGCGUGAGGGAGUACUGCCCUAUGGGUUGUAAACCUCUUUUGUCGGGGAGCAAAAGCCGGACGUGUCCGGCUGUGAGAGUACCCGAAGAAAAAGGAUCGGCUAACUCCGUGCAAGCAGCGGCGGUAAUACGUAGGAUGCGAGCGUUAUCCGGAUUUAUGGGGUUUAAAGGGGGCGCAGGCGGAUUUUUAAGUCAGCGGUCAAACCGUGGGGCUCAACCCCAUCCCGCCGUUGAAACUGGGGAUCUAGAGUGUGCGAGAGGUAUGCGGAAUUCGUGGUGUAGCGGUGAAAUGCAUAGAUAUCACGCAGAACCCCGAUUGCGAAGGCAGCAUACCGGUGCACAACUGACGCUCAGGCACGAAAGCGUGGGUAUCGAACAGGAUUAGAUACCCUUGUAGUC
rnacentral:rRNA from 1 species